GGGUGGGUGGGCUCAGUGGUCAGAGCCUAGGGCUUGAGAGCGAAAGGUCCCGAGUUCGAAUCUCGCAUGAGGCG
rnacentral:tRNA from 1 species